rnacentral:rRNA from 1 species
CCUACGGGUGGCAGCAGUGGGGAAUAUUGCACAAUGGGGGAAACCCUGAUGCAGCGACGCCGCGUGAGUGAAGAAGUAUUUCGGUAUGUAAAGCUCUAUCAGCAGGGAAGAAAUAGCGACCUUUGGGUCGCCAGACGGUACCUGAUUAAGAAGCCCCGGCUAACUACGUGCCAGCAGCCGCGGUAAUACGUAGGGGGCAAGCGUUAUCCGGAUUUACUGGGUGUAAAGGGAGCGUAGACGGUUACGCAAGUCUGGAGUGAAAGGCGGGAGUGCAAGUCAGAUGUGAAAACUAGGGGCUCAACCCAUAGCCUGCAUUUGAAACUGUACUUCUUGAGUGCUGGAGAGGCAAUCGGAAUGCCGUGUGUAGCGGUGAAAUGCGUAGAUAUACGGAGGAACACCAGUGGCGAAGGCGGAUUGCUGGACAGUAACUGACGCUGAGGCGCGAAAGCGUGGGGAGCAAACAGGAUUAGAUACCCCUGUAGUC